rnacentral:lncRNA from 1 species
UACUCAACCAAAAUAGAUAGAUACCUAUUUUUGCGAAUACAAAAUAGAUAGAUAUUGAAUGUGAUAAUAUUUGACUUCUAUACUUUUGCACACAAGUAGCACUAAAAAAAAUAUGCUAAUAUGCAACACAUGAUUUAUAAUCCCAACAUAGCCAGAGAUGCAUGAGUCUGCAGAACAGCAAUGUGAAUCAUCGCUUGAUCAAUAGCAAUCCAGCAUGCUUCAGAUAGCAGUGUCCAUCCAACAUAUGCAUCUACGAAUACAGGCUUCUUCACAACUUAGAUGUUCACAAACCAAAACUUGACACAAUUGAUGCUCAAGGUCACAAUAGCCUUCAGAAGUGCAGCACAUAUCACCAAAUCCAGCCAAAAUUCUUCAAACAUCAUGCCACAUGUCUAUAGAGAGCUUUUCUGAGAAUGCAGAACCUAAUCCUCACACAAGGUAAGGUGCACAGUAAUGACCAAGACUCUUCAGACAUGAUGUUUGUCAUAAUUGCUUUAAUCAUUGAUGAUAGGGCUGCGACUGCCACCAUGAUAUGAACCACCACAUUGAGCUUGCGCUCUUGGUGGGAGGCUCUUGCAGGGUCUUCCAUGUGUUCUGGGAGAUCUCUUGACGUCGAUUCUUCGCCCCCAGCAUUACUGUUCCUCCUAUUUAGGGAUAGCAACUCACUGUUAACAAGAAACACACAUCUAAUUAUGGUCCUGUUACAAAAGCAACCAUUAACAAAAAGAAAUGGAAAGCCAAACUUUCAUAUGCUAUGCAUUAUACAAAAUAAUUCAGCAGUUGUAGUUUUUGAGCAAGCUUUUCCCUUAGAAACCUAAUGCAGCAGUUUUAACAGGUCACAUGUGUAAGCAUUCAAUUUAAAUGUUAGUUGAGAGUAUGAACUACCAAAUAGAAUAUUGAAACAAUAUUUUCUUACCACAUCAACAUAUACAACAUGCAUUUCACUUUCCCCCAACAAGCACAAGCAACUAAGAAUGACACAACUGCAAAAUAUAGUCACAAGAUUAUCCUUCAUACAAGGUUGAACAGAAGACCUGUGUAACUCUCCUACAGCUCCUGAAAUUCCAGCUUUGGUCCCACCCAUGACGAGGAGAUGGGGACCUUAAGUAGCUUCUCCCCCUCCUGUACUUGGGAAACAAUCAAAACUGUCUACUAAAGAAAGAAAGGCAUAUGCAAUUUAGCUGGAGUGUUCAACGAAAUCUCCUGCAAUUUGAUAAAAAAUAAGAAUUAAAGGAAAUAC